CUAACCGUAGUUGAAAACACAAUUAGCUUGCUAUAUUUUACCUACGGGCGAGAGGAGACGUCCGGUUAAAGUAUUAUAAUAACCCUGCCCAACGAUUGGUGUGCCUUUUA
rnacentral:lncRNA from 1 species